rnacentral:lncRNA from 1 species
GGGCUGCAAGCAGUAGGGGGCGAGCCUUCGCCCGGCUGAGGGGCCGGGUACUGCGUGCCCGGAAAGGUGGUCCGGGCCUCGAAGAGAGCUUUCGGAGGGAGGGCCGUCGGGCCAGCCGCUGUGUUCGGCUUCUUACUCAAUAAUAAUAAUUAACAAGUCUACACUUCCACGUUCUCUUGCUCGUGUAGUGCCAGGCACUGUUAGAGACUUUGAAUAAUAAUGCAAGUACUUAUUGUAAACAUGAUGUUUAUGGUGACUGAUACGUGCUAGGCACUAUGACAGAUCGUAAAUGAUAAUUAUAAAUAUAAUAAACUACCAAAUUAUUAUUUACUUAUUUUUUUGCCACUCUGGUGAUGCUUUCAAUAACAACAAACAACUGUCAUAAAUAAAAGCUGCUCCACAUUAAAUCUUUGCCAUGCAACCAGCACCGUCCUGGAUCCUUCGCUAAUAGACACCAUUUAUUCAUGCAACAAAGGCUACAGAAUACAAUGAUGAGAAAAAUUUACCUUAUUCCACCUUCCUGCUAGAAUCGAGUGAAGAGACAUCCUUUGAAUACUGAGGCUGGCUUGCUAGAGCAGCAAUUCAUUCCCUCACCACAGUGAGGACGGCACUGUGCAGUCUCCUCCCGUUGUUUACUUUUCAAGAGUCAGACAGCAAUCUCAUCAUCAUUCCUUCAGGCCCUCUGCCAUGCUGCCCUGCUUUGGAGCUAGCUGACAAUGGACUGAAAUCUCUACAAACUCUCAGUGUGGCGGCUCUGGGUUGCAGCGCUCAUUCUUGGAAGACUCGAGAAUCUAAUGGUCCGUUGAAGAGGUGGAGGAAGACGUUUAUUACACCAGGGAGCCCUGGUGGACUCAGAGGAGUCUGAGUGCUCCACCAGAAAUGACAGCCUCCUUGCAUAGGGAUCUACAAGGGCAUAAGCAUUUCCUCCAAGUGCUCCUGGUGCCUUUCUACUCUUGGACCAACAACAAUCCCCAGCUCAACUUCUGUCACACUGAACCGAUACAGAGGAGUGAGAUGUGGAGGGUGUGGAGUUUGAUCCACUGGUACGAAUACCGCAGUGCCCACCAGACACCAUCAGAGCCGCAGACGUGCCAGGACUUCAGUUUCCAAAAACCAUUCUGAAGUGACUUCAGAAUACUUAGUUAAGAAUAUGUGAUGAAUAAUAUUGCCAAAAGAAACCACUAAAAGAUGCAAACAAAGUAAGUGAAGACCUUUUCCUCCUGCUUUCACUGAGUAUGAAUUAUGGAGCUGAGAUACAAAUGUCAUCAUUGUUAAGUACUGGAAUGAUACAACAAGAGAAACAGUACCCGAUCAAUUUCUUGGACAGACUGAUGAAAACGAGGGCAAAGAGGUCCUAGAAACGCACGAGCACAAACCCCAUGCCACUUGUGCUGUUGGUAAGACACGUGGCUAUGGUCAAGCAGAAUCACUCCCUACAUGUGGACAGGAGCAUGAAAGUCAGAAAGAGAAACCAGCUGUAAAGGGCCCUUGGCUGGAACAUCAACUGUGACCACAGGCAUUCAGAUGAGGCUCAGAAGACUUCGAGUUUACCGGUGGUGUAGCAUCUAGUGGCCAGUCUGGUGAAGGUCACAAAUGUGUGCUUUUUGGUGAAAUAAGGCAGAAAAGGCCAUACAAGCAUGGCCUCCUCUGUAAUGAGUUAAGAAAUCGCUGUUUUUGUUUUGUUGUCAUGGAGACAGAGACCUAGCAGUGGGAAUGCUUGGGACAGACCAGGGCAGUGCCUGCAUGCCCUGGAAUCACCUGAAGAUGCAUAAAAUGUAAUCAAGCCAC